CGAGUUACUACACGGAAAAAUUGAUUUUUCCGUGCCGUCCUCUUUAAUGGACCGCACGCGAAAAUGAGCCGAUUUUCCCAGAAGCAACGAGAUACCGCCCGCACGGAAUCUAAAAGAUCGAACACUUGGUGGUGCGCUCGUCGGUGUUCCCGGUGUCUAGAGCUCCACCAUCGCCCCACUUUGUCAUUCCCGUCGACUCGAAUCAUCUCCGGCUGUACCAUUGCGCCACUGACGUCGCCUAGGUCCCAGGAGAACGACGCCCACAUAUGAUCAAGCCAAUACGCCGCCACGAAGGCCGUCGGUCGCCGUUGCUCUCCUGCUGCCUCUGCUUGUCUUGCCGCCGAGUCACCGACACGUGGGCCCGGCUGUUUAGCCACUUCAUUAGGUGCUAAGGACUUUAAUUAGUAGAAAUUGAAAUGUUGUAAGGUUCUUUUUGUAAAAUUGCUUUGUUUGCCAUGUGGGCUUAUGGACCUAAAUGCAAUUCACCUAAUGCCCAGGGACCUUGUUGUAUAGGGUUUAGGGCUUACCCUAAAACAUGAAAUUACUAUUUCAUGCAUUCACUACUUGAUAUAAUAGCUUGAUGAGUAUAUUGUUAUCACCCUUGCUUUAACCCCCUCUUUUAGAAUCAAUUUGGAGUUUUUGCCGAAGCCAGGAGUUUAAUCAUAUAAAUUAGUGUCAUUCUAACUUAGUUCCCAAGUAUAGAUUAGAUAGAUGGUUUAAUUCUAUAGCAAAACAUUAGAGUUGGCUCAUCCUGUAGCUUCUACAGUAAUAGUUAGCCACAAUCUUGUAAAUACCCUAUUAUUUUAUGUAAAGAAAUCUCCAUUGGAGCCUUAAUCAAA